rnacentral:pre_miRNA from 1 species
CCCUCAUUGUACAUGCUGUGUGAAUUUGUCACAUACACAGCGCAUGCAAUGUGGACA